AAAGUGAAUUUUUUUAAUUUAAGCACUCUUUCAUCUUCCCUUACACUCUUAUUAGUUUACUCUUUUUGUUUUAGUGUACACUUUUUUUGUGAUACUAUCUUCACAGACCCAAAAAUGUUAUUUCUAAACACCAUUUAGGCUCCUAUAUACAAGCAGGGCCUAGGCUCCUCCCCUCUGUUUAUUUUUGAAUUUUUAAAUUUUUCAGAGCCUUUUCUUUGAAUAUAUCAAGCACUUAAAAGUGCAUUUUUUGAAUUUAAGCACUCUUUCAUCUUUUCUUACACUCUUAGAAGUUUAAUAUUUUUUGUUUUAGUGUACACUUUUUUGUGUUACUAUCUUCACAGACCCAUUUAUUUCUUUUUCACUUACAUACAUGGUGUUUAGAAAGAAAAUUAAAAAAAUUAAAUUGAGCUCAGUGAAGAAAAUAUGUAUUUUACACAAGUCAUGCCUGAAGAAGACACAGAAGGUUGUCGAAACGUCAUGAUAAAAGGCUUGGGUACUUGUAUAUAGUUUAAAAUCUCGACAGCUUUCUGUGUCUUCUUCAAGCACUUAAAAGUGCAUUUUUUGAAUUUAAGCACUCUUUCAUCUUCCCUUACACUCUUAUAAGUUUAAGAGUCUAUUUACAUGACUCUUAACCCAUAUGUAUCUUUUUUGAUUUUUUUCAGAUGGAGACAUCCAGUAUGGUUUUCCGUAAAGGGAGACCAGCGAGGCCCAGAGAGAGAGGCACGGGCUGAGUUAGAUGGAGACAUCCAGUAUGGUUUUCCGUAAAGGGAGACCAGCGAGGCCCAGAGAGAGAGGCACGGGCUGAGUUAGGCCUUUGUGCAAAGCGGUCAGUGGAACGGAUGGACAGUGCAUAACCGUCUUCGGGUCCCUCAGGACCUGUCGAUUGGACUUACAAAAAUCCUAACCUCAGCUCGAGCCUCCCUCUCUGAACUUUGGAAAAUGGUUGGGAUUAGGUAAAGAUCUCACCUUAGACUUCCUAUCCCGGUCUCUAAUAUAUUAUUAAAUGAAAUUAAUAUUAUAAUAAUAAUAAAAAUAAUAAAACAGAUCUCUAUGCCUAUACACACUGGUAAGGGUACAAUAAAAAGGUUAUUGUACUGAACAAACUGUAUUUUCUAUCCCCUUAACCUACACCUCACACAAAACUACAAGCAUUACAUUACCCAAAAAAAAAAAAAAAAAUCUCCUCCUGUAUGAUUUCUAAUAAGCACAGUUUAUGAUCUCGCAGUGACACGAGUCCCCAUUAAUCUUUGUGUAUUUGUUACGUGCUGGAGCUGAUGCUUACGAAAGAGGAUUGCACGGCCAAGCACUCAUAAAACCAUCUCAAGAUCAAAGUCAUUAUAAUUCAAGAUUCAUCAAUGGAUGCUCUGCAGUGAAUGGGUGCCAUCAGAAUGAGAGCAGAUAAAAACCUCACAAUAAUCCACAGCACUCCAGUCCAUCAGUGAACAUCUGGAGAAGACAAAAGAUGAAACACAUCCAGCAUUAAGAUGAUAUUAAGAUGAUGAGACUGGUCUUUUGAUGACAAUGACGACAAAAAGUUGCCCGCUUCUGGACACUCUAGAAAAUAAAUAAAUAAAUAAAUAAAUAAAUAAACAAACAAACAAAUAUUAUUUAUAUAUUCGAUUGGACUUACAGAAAUCCUAACCUCAGCCCGAGCCUCCCUCUCUGAACUUUGGAAAAUGGUUGGGAUUAGGUAAAGAUCCCACCUUAGACUUCCUAUCCCUGUCUCUAAUAUAUUAUUAAAUGAAAUUAAUAUUAUAAUAAUAAUAAAAAUAAUAAAACAGAUCUCUAUGCCUAUACACACUGGUAAGAGUACUUACCUGGACAACGCCAAAAAAAGUAAACUUAUAAGAGUGUAAGGGAAGAUGAAAGAGUGCUUAAAUUCAAAAAAUGCACUUUAAAGAUGCUUGAUAUAUUCAAAGAAAAGGCUCUGAAAAUUUUACAAAUUACAAAAUAAACAGAGGGGAGGAGCUUUUAAUUCUAAAAAAUUAAAUUGAGCUCAGAGAAGAAAACCUUUAUUUUACACAAGUCAUGCCUGAAGAAGACACAGAAAGCUGUCGAAACGUCGCGAUAAAAGGCUUGUGUACUUGUAUAUAGUUUAAAAUCUUCACAGACCCAAAAAUUAAAAAAAAUUAAAUUGAGCUCAGGGAAGAAAACAUCUCCAUCUGAAAAAAAUAAAAAAAGAUACAACUCAGACACACACACACACACACACACAAAGACACACAUAUAUAUGCACAAACAUUUUGUUGCAGAUAUAGGUAUUUGAAAUAAGUGAUAGGUGACAAUAAACUUAUUGCAAGUCUUCUCUUUUUUAGAGUUUAGAUGUCAUUUUCAGGUUAAACUGUAAUCAUAAUGUGGCAAAAUUGUAAAAACUGAUACAUCUGUAUGAUCAAAAUGGAAAACAUCAAAUCAAUGAGAUUUAAAAUGUUAUAACAGUUAAUUUAUUAAUGUUUUGCCAUGAAUUCAUAAAAACUGUACUAGAUGAAUGAGCCCAUUAGUGGUCUUCCGCUGCCAUCUAGUGGUUAUAAAUUGCAUUUACUCAAACAACACUGUGUUUUUAAACAUAACUGUUAAAGUGUUGUUGUUUUUUUUUUUGCCCUAUCUCUCUUAAAUUUUGCAUGCUUGUUUAGAAUGAAAUUAUGCAUUACUUUACACAGUUUUGAUAAUUUGUGGGAUUUCUAUUUGUAUUAAUAGGCCUUUGUGCCUCUGGGGUGGUCUCGGCCAACCAGGAUGUAUGGAUGAAUUUUAAAUUUUUAGUUUUUAAGAGUUUAGAUGUCAUUCAGGUUUCACUGUAAUCACAAUGUGGCAAAAUUGUAAAAAAUGAUGUGUAUGUAUGAACAAAAUGGAAAACAUUGAUUCAAUGAGAUGUAAAAUGUUAUAACACUUCUGCAAACAGAGGCUCAGAAACUCCAGGCUGGCGAAAAGAGGUCAACAAACCAUCAGCUGACUUUCACUCAUAUUUAUUAAGAAUUAUUAUUUGUGUUUAAAUGUUCUCUAUAUUAGACACAUACAUAGAGGUCCAAACAUCCCCCACAUUGCUGACAAGGGGACACACUGAGGGCAAGAUAGUAACACAAAAAAAGUGUACACUAAAACAAAAAAAAGUAAACUUAUAAGAGUGUAAGGGAAGAUGAAAGAGUGCUUAAAUUCAAAAAAUGCACUUUAAAGAUGCUUGAUAUAUUCAAAGAAAAGGCUCUGAAAAAAAAAAAAAAUUACAAAAUAAACAGAGGGGAGGAGCUUUUAAUUCUAAAAAAUUAAAUUGAGCUCAGAGAAGAAAACAUUUAUUUUACACAAGUCAUGCCUGAAAAAGACACAGAAAGCUGUCGAAACGUCGCGAUAAAAGGCUUGUGUACUUGUAUAUAGUUUAAAAUCUCAUAUUUUAGGCAAAAACAAAUAGUUUAAAGUUAAUGAUGGAUUCUUUUAUUACAAACACACAGCUUUUAUUCAAAGAAAAGGCUCUGAAAAAUUUAAAAAUUCAAAAAUAAACAAAUUGGCCUCGGCCUUCGAGGUGGCCUCUUCCUGGGCAGAGAAAAAUUAUGGGGGCAAAGUGAACGCAGUGAACCCUCCCCGGGCAUGGCAGCAUAAAUAAACAGAGGGGAGGAGCCUAGGCCCUAAAUGCCUAGGAGACUAAAUGGUGUUUAGAAAUAAAAUUUACAAAUUAAAUUGAGCUCAGUGAAGAAAAUAUGUAUUUUACACAAGUCAUGCCUGAAGAAGACACAGAAGGUUGUCGAAACGUCGCGAUAAAAGGCUUGUGUACUUGUAUAUAGUUUAAAAUCUUCACAGACCCAAAAAUUAAAAAAAAUUAAAUUGAGCUCAGGGAAGAAAACAUCUCCAUCUGAAAAAAAUAAAAAAAGAUACAACUCAGACACACACACACACACAAAGACACACAUAUAUAUGCACAAACAUUUUGUUGCACAUAUAGGUAUUUGAAAUAAGUGAUAGGUGACAAUAAACUUAUUGCAAGUCUUCUCUUUUUUAGAGUUUAGAUGUCAUUUUCAGGUUAAACUGUAAUCAUAAUGUGGCAAAAUUGUAAAAACUGAUACAUCUGUAUGAUCAAAAUGGAAAACAUCAAAUCAAUGAGAUUUAAAAUGUUAUAACAGUUAAUUUAUUAAUGUUUUGCCAUGAAUUCAUAAAAACUGUACUAGAUGAAUGAGCCCAUUAGUGGUCUUCCGCUGCCAUCUAGUGGUUAUAAAUUGCAUUUACUCAAACAACACUGUGUUUUUAAACAUAACUGUUAAAGUGUUGUUGUUUUUUUUUUUUUUUGCCCUAUCCCUCUUAAAUUUUGCAAGCUUGUUUAGAAUGAAAUUAUGCAUUACUUUACACAGUUUUGAUAAUUUGUGGGAUUUCUAUUUGUAUUAAUAGGCCUUUGUGCCUCUGGGGUGGUCUCGGCCAACCAGGAUGUAUGGAUGAAUUUUAAAUUUUUAGUUUUUAAGAGUUUAGAUGUCUUUCAGGUUUCACUGUAAUCACAAUGUGGCAAAAUUGUAAAAAAUGAUGUGUAUGUAUGAACAAAAUGGAAAACAUUGAUUCAAUGAGAUGUAAAAUGUUAUAACACUUCUGCAAACAGAGGCUCAGAAACCCCAGGCUGGCGAAAAGAGGUCAACAAACCAUCAGCUGACUUUCACUCAUAUUUAUUAAGAAUUAUUAUUUGUGUUUAAAUGUUCUCUAUAUUAGACACAUACAUAGAGGUCCAAACAUCCCCCACAUUGCUGACAAGGGGACACACUGAGGGCAAGAUAGUAACACAAAAAAAGUGUACAUUAAAACAAAAAAAGUAAACUUAUAAGAGUGUAAGGGAAGAUGAAAGAGUGCUAAAAUUAAAAAAAUGCACUUUAAAGAUGCUUGAUAUAUUCAAAGAAAAGGCUCUGAAAAUUUUAAAAAUUACAAAAUAAACAGAGGGGAGGAGCUUUUAAUUCUAAAAAAUUAAAUUGAGCUCAGAGAAGAAAACAUUUAUUUUACACAAGUCAUGCCUGAAGAAGACACAGAAAGCUGUCGAAACGUCGCGAUAAAAGGCUUGUGUACUUGUAUAUAGUUUAAAAUCUCAUAUUUUAGGCAAAAACAAAUAGUUUAAAGUUAAUGAUGGAUUCUUUUAUUACAAACACACAGCUUUUUGCUUCACAUGACGUUAAUUGAUGGACUGGAGUCAUGUGGAUUACUUGUGGAUUAUUGUGAUGGUCAUGUGGAUUAAUAUGUGUUGUAAAAUAAAACAAAGGGGUGCUAAAAACACAAAUAAGUGUGUGAAAGUGAAAAAGAAAUAAAUGGGUCUGUGAAGAUAGUAACACAAAAAAGUGUACACUAAAACAAAAAAAUUUAACUUAUAAGAGUGUAAGGGAAGAUGAAAGAGUGCUUAAAUUAAAAAAAUGCACUUUUAAGUGCUUGAUAUAUUCAAAGAAAAGGCUCUGAAAAUUUAAAAAAUUACAAAAUAAACAGAGGGGAGGAGCUUUUAAUUCUAAAAAAUUAAAUUGAGCUCAGAGAAGAAAACAUUUAUUUUACACAAGUCAUGCCUGAAGAAGACACAGAAAGCUGUCGAAACGUCGCGAUAAAAGGCUUGUGUACUUGUAUAUAGUUUAAAAUCUCAUAUUUUAGGCAAAAACAAAUAGUUUAAAGUUAAUGAUGGAUUCUUUUAUUACAAACACACAGCUUUUAUUCAAAGAAAAGGCUCUGAAAAAUUUAAAAAUUCAAAAAUAAACAAAUUGGCCUCGGCCUUCGAGGUGGCCUCUUCCUGGGCAGAGAAAAAUUAUGGGGGCAAAGUGAACGCAGUGAACCCUCCCCGGGCAUGGCAGCAUAAAUAAACAGAGGGGAGGAGCCUAGGCCCUAAAUGCCUAGGAGACUAAAUGGUGUUUAGAAAUAAAAUGUACAAAUUAAAUUGAGCUCAGUGAAGAAAAUAUGUAUUUUACACAAGUCAUGCCUGAAGAAGACACAGAAGGUUGUCGAAACGUCGCGAUAAAAGGCUUGUGUACUUAUAUAUAGUUUAAAAUCUUCACAGACCCAAUGUAACUUUUCAUGCAAAAGUGACCAAUUCUGCCUAAAAUGCUCCCAGGAGCAUGCAUAUGAUGAAACUAGCUGUUUUAAAGCAUAUCUAGCUCAGAACAGCGUUUCUGAGUGAGAAUAGCAUAUUUCUAGUGGCAAUGUAACUUUUCAUGCAAAAGUGACCAAUUCUGCCUAAAAUGCUCCCAGGAGCAUGCAUAUGAUGAAACUAGCUGUUUUAAAGCAUAUCUAGCUCAGAACAGCGUUUCUGAGUGAGAAUAGCAUGUUUCUAGUGGCAAUGUAACUUUUCAUGCAAAAGUGACCAAUUCUGCCUAAAAUGCUCCCAGGAGCAUGCAUAUGAUGAAACUAGCUGUUUUAAAGCAUAUCUAGCACAGAACAGCGUUUCUGAGUGAGAAUAGCAUAUUUCUAGUGGCAAUGUAACUUUUCAUGCAAAAGUGACCAAUUCUGCCUAAAAUGCUCCCAGGAGCAUGCAUAUGAUGAAACUAGCUGUUUUAAAGCAUAUCUAGCUCAGAACAGCGUUUCUGAGUGAGAAUAGCAUAUUUCUAGUGGCAAUGUAACUUUUCAUGCAAAAGUGACCAAUUCUGUCUAAAAUGCUCCCAGGAGCAUGCAUAUGAUGAAACUAGCUGUUUUAAAGCAUAUCUAGCUCAGAACAGCGUUUCUGAGUGAGAAUAGCAUAUUUCUAGUGGCAAUGUAACUUUUCAUGCAAAAGUGACCAAUUCUGCCUAAAAUGCUCCCAGGAGCAUGCAUAUGAUGAAACUAGCUGUUUUAAAGCAUAUCUAGCACAGAACAGCAUUUCUGAGUGAGAAUAGCAUAUUUCUAGUGGCAAUGUAACUUUUCAUGCAAAAGUGACCAAUUCUGCCUAAAAUGCUCCCAGGAGCAUGCAAAUGAUGAAACUUGCUGUUUUAAAGCAUAUCUAGCUCAGAACAGCGUUUCACUUAUAAGAGUGUAAGGGAAGAUGAAAGAGUGCUUAAAUUAAAAAAAUGCACUUUUAAGUGCUUGAUAUAUUCAAAGAAAAGGCUCUGAAAAAUUUAAAAAUUCAAAAAUAAACAAAUUGGCCUCGGCCUUCGAGGUGGCCUCUUCCUGGGCAGAGAAAAAUUAUGGGGGCAAAGUGAACGCAGUGAACCCUCCCCGGGCAUGGCAGCAUAAAUAAACAGAGGGGAGGAGCCUAGGCCCUAAAUGCCUAGGAGCCUAAAUGGUGUUUAGAAAUAAAAUUUAAAAAUUAAAUUGACAAUUUGUAAAUUUUUCAGAGCCUUUUCUUUGAAUAUAUCAAGCACUUAAAAGUGCAUUUUUUUUAAUUUAAGCACUCUUUCAUCUUCCCUUACACUCUUAUAAGUUUAAUUUUUUUGUUUUAGUGUACACUUUUUUGUCCAUUUCUGCAUCUAAACGCCUAACAACCUAAAACAUGCUCUAUUAUAGUCCUACUAUUGUUAGCAAUUUCUUUAUCGUCCAAUUUGUGUACACUAAAACAAAAAAAUUAAACUUAGAGCCUAGGCUCCUCCCCUCUGUUUAUUUUUGAAUUUUUGAAUUUUUUUCUGAUGGCUUUAAGAGAUUUAAGACCUAAACAAUGUGUUCUCUUUCAUUUUUUUACUGUAUUGACUUGUUCGAUGUCGCGCCCUAGUGGUUAGAGAGUUUGACUCCUAACCGUAAGGUUGUCGGUUCGAUUCAUCGUGGAAAUCCCGCACCGAACCCUCCCCGGGCACCGCAGCAUAAAUAAACAGAGGGGAGGAGCCUAGGCCCUAAAUGCCUAGGAGCCUAAAUGGUGUUUAGAAAUAAAAUUAGAGAUUUCUACUUACCUAACUCAGCCCGUGCCUCUCUCUCUGGGCCUCGCUGGUCUCCCUUUCCGGAAAACCAUACUGGAUGUCUCCAUCUGAAAUAAAUAAAAAAAGAUACAUAUGGGUUAAGAGUCAUGUAAAUAGACUCUUAAACUUAUAAGAGUGUAAGGGAAGAUAAAAGAGUGCUUAAAUUCAAAAAAUGCACUUUUAAGUGCUUGAAGAAGACACAGAAAGCUGUCGAGAUUUUAAACUAUAUACAAGUACCCAAGCCUUUUAUCGUGACGUUUCGACAACCUUCUGUGUCUUCUUCAGGCAUGACUUGUGUAAAAUACAUAUUUUCUUCACUGAGCUCAAUUUAAUUUUUUUAAUUUUCUUUCUAAACACCAUGUAUGUAAGUGAAAAAGAAAUAAAUGGGUCUGUGAAGAUAGUAACACAAAAAAGUGUACACUAAAACAAAAAAAAUUAAACUUCUAAGAGUGUAAGAAAAGAUGAAAGAGUGCUUAAAUUCAAAAAAUGCACUUUUAAGUGCUUGAUAUAUUCAAAGAAAAGGCUCUGAAAAAUUUAAAAAUUCAAAAAUAAACAGAGGGGAGGAGCCUAGGCCCUGCUUGUAUAUAGGAGCCUAAAUGGUGUUUAGAAAUAAAAUUUUUGGGUCUGUGAAGAUAGUAUCACAAAAAAAGUGUACACUAAAACAAAAAGAGUAAACUUAUAAGAGUGUAAGGGAAGAUGAAAGAGUGCUUAAAUUCAAAAAAUGCACUUUAAAGAUGCUUGAUAUAUUCAAAGAAAAGGCUCUGAAAAUUAAAAAAAUUACAAAAUAAACAGAGGGGAGGAGCUUUUAAUUCUAAAAAAUUAAAUUGAGCUCAGAGAAGAAAACAUUUAUUUUACACAAGUCAUGCCUGAAGAAGACACAGAAAGCUGUCGAAACGUCGCGAUAAAAGGCUUGUGUACUUGUAUAUAGUUUAAAAUCUCAUAUUUUAGGCAAAAACAAAUAGUUUAAAGUUAAUGAUGGAUUCUUUUAUUACAAACACACAGCUUUUAUUCAAAGAAAAGGCUCUGAAAAAUUUAAAAAUUCAAAAAUAAACAAAUUGGCCUCGGCCUUCGAGGUGGCCUCUUCCUGGGCAGAGAAAAAUUAUGGGGGCAAAGUGAACGCAGUGAACCCUCCCCGGGCAUGGCAGCAUAAAUAAACAGAGGGGAGGAGCCUAGGCCCUAAAUGCCUAGGAGACUAAAUGGUGUUUAGAAAUAAAAUUUACAAAUUAAAUUGAGCUCAGUGAAGAAAAUAUGUAUUUUACACAAGUCAUGCCUGAAGAAGACACAGAAGGUUGUCGAAACGUCGCGAUAAAAGGCUUGUGUACUUGUAUAUAGUUUAAAAUCUUCACAGACCCAAAAAUUAAAAAAAAUUAAAUUGAGCUCAGGGAAGAAAACAUCUCCAUCUGAAAAAAAUAAAAAAAGAUACAA